rnacentral:miRNA from 1 species
ACAAGUUUCGUGAUUUUUGGA